rnacentral:rRNA from 1 species
CUGCCAGCAGCCGCGGUAAUACGUAGGGUUCAAUCUUUAAUCGGAAUUACUGGGCGUAAAGCGUGCGCAGGCGGUUAUAUAAGACAGAUGUGAAAUCCCCGGGCUCAACCUGGGAACUGCAUUUGUGACUGUAUGACUAGAGUACGGCAGAGGGGGAUGGAAUUCCGCGUGUAGCAGUGAAAUGCGUAGAUAUGCGGAGGAACACCGAUGGCGAAGGCAAUCCCCUGGGCCUGUACUGACGCUCAUGCACGAAAGCGUGGGGAGCAAACAGGAUUAGAUACCCUGGUAGUCCACGCCCUAAACGAUGUCAACUGGUUGUUGGGUCUUAACUGACUCAGUAACGAAGCUAACGCGUGAAGUUGACCGCCUGGGGAGUACGGCCGCAAGGUUGAAACUUAAAUAAAUUGACGG